rnacentral:tRNA from 1 species
AAGGAUUUAAGUUAAAUAAACUAGUAACCUUCAAAGUUACCAAUAGAAAAGCUCUAAGCCUUA